rnacentral:rRNA from 1 species
AUGUUAGGACAUCUUAAUCCGGAUUCUGAAGAAAUGAGUACCUGUAAAAAGGCCAGGGCGGAAUCUACAUCUGUUGUGAGUUCAGACAGACUGAGCAGUCUACCUCCAGAGAUAAAGGGCGACAUCCUAACCCGUCUGAAUGUCGAAGAAGCGGUUAGGACUAGCACCUUAUCAACUACUUGGAGGGAUGCAUGGACUAAUAUGCCAAAAAUAUUUCUGCCCGAUGGAAAUUUUGCAAGAACCAAGUUCGUCACAUUAGUCGAUAUGGUGCUAUCACUCCACAAGGGAACUGUAGAGAAGUUCGAUAUUUCAGGUAGCAAAACUUACCAUAACGAGUUCGGCAGGUGGAUGCUCAUGCUUUCAAGGAGAUCACCAAGAUCAAUUAUAAUGGAGUUGAAAUCAGGGCCUGGUUAUAGGAUUCCCUCAUGUCUAUUUUCCAUCGGCGAUUUAGAGAUUCUGCACCUGCAAAACUGCAUCAUCAGCUUGCCCCAGGUAUUCCAAGGUUUCAAGAGAUUAACUCGCCUCAACCUGAAAAAUUUCUUGUCUACAGACACGGAGAUCCAAAAUCUGGUCUCCUUCUGCCGCAUACUGAGUUUUUUGGAACUAGCUUCUUUUGAGGGCAUCAACCAUCUAACCGUUCAAGCUCCUAAACUGAAACUUCUUUAUGUUGUUGGGGACGUUGAAGACAUUAAUUUGGAUGCCCCUAAUUUGGAGAUGGCUGCUCUCUUUCUUGAUCACAAAGCUAUAGCACAUCAUUCUGAUCCAAUUGUGCUUCACAAGGAAAGCUAUGUCAAGCAGUUACUGGGAAGCCUAAGUGACAUCAAAACCCUUGCAAUUAGCGACUCUUUACUGAGGUAUCUAUCAAAAGGUUGCAUACUUACAAAGCUCCCUGCCGUGUUUGCUCACCUGGAGGAUAUUUAUCUUGCGAUAUGCUUUGGGGACCAGCGGCAAUUCUUGGCCGCUUGUUCAUUGUUUCAGAAUGCCCCUAACUUAAAGAAGCUUGACUUGUGGAGUCAAUCUAAGAGCACAUGGGAUCAGGAUCAGGAUCAGGCGAGCAUUCAGAGCUUACCAUGCAAGUGCAAUUGGAUCAUCUCGUAA